rnacentral:rRNA from 1 species
UGCCAGCAGCCGCGGUAAUACGGAGGGUACGAACGUUAAUCGGAAUUACUGGGCGUAAAGCGCGCGUAGGCGGUUUGUUAAGUGGGAUGUGAAAGCCCCGGGCUCAACCUGGGAACUGCAUUCCAAACUGACAAACUAGAGUACGAGAGAGGGGGGUAGAAUUCAGAGUGUAGCGGUGAAAUGCGUAGAUAUAUGGAGGAAUACCAGUGGCGAAGGCGGCCUCCUGGCUCGAUACUGACGCUGAGGUGCGAAAGCGUGGGUAGCAAACAGGAUUAGAUA